CAAUCAUGAGAAUGAGCUCAGUGGUCUCCCUAAACACCAUCCAUGUACAAGCACUGAACUAGGCACCUGAGACAUAGUGGCAAGAAGGACAGACUCAGUUCCUGUUUGCAGAUCCUGCAAUCCAUCCCAAUAAAAGUAUGGUGAGACAUAAGUUCAAGUCAGCAGGGGGCAGUAUACGUGGUUAAGAACAUGGUCCUUGUUUAACCUGUCUGAAUCCCCAUUUCUGCCAGACUACUUGUAUGAUCUUAGGCAUGUUAUUUAAUCCACCUCUUGGCUCAAUAUAAUUGGUGUAAAUAACUGAAAACAGUGAUCAUAACAUAAUUAAGAACUCAAAUGUUAGGUACAACUUAUGUUAUGAUAGGAGAAAUACAGUGCUAUAGAAAGCCAGAGGAAAAGAACUAAUCCAGAAUUGAGUGGAUCAGAGAAAUAUGCAGAAAUUGAGCAGAGGCUACAGGAGGAGAAUGGGACUGUUCGUGGCAGAAGAGACAGUUCAAAGGCCCACAGGUAAGACAAAGAACAAGAAAUUAGGGAAGUCUAGCUAGAAAAUAGAGUACAAGUGUGGGGAGGUGAGAAGGACACACAAAAAUUAACCAGAUGCAUAUAAGUCACAGACUUGUUUUUGUUUUGAACAGCAAUGAGAUUUAUUUUUUCAACUUUUAUUUUAGGUUCAGGGUACAUGUGCAGGUUUGUUAUAAAGGUAAACUUGUGUCACAGGGGUUUGUUAUACAGAUUAUUUCUUCACCCAGGUACUAAGCCUAGUAUCCAAUAUUAUUUUUUCUGAUCCUCUCCCUCCUCCCACCCUGUGCACCCUCCAGUAGGCCCCAGUGUCUUUGUUCCCUUGUGUACAAGUGUACUCAAUGUUUAGCUCCCACUUAUAAGUGAGAACUUGUGGUAUUUGGUUUUCUGUUCCUGUGUGAGUUUGCUAACGACAAUGGCCUCCAGCUCCAUCCACGUUCCUGUAAAAGGCACAAUCUUAUUCUUUUUUAUGGCUGCAUAGUAUUCCAUGGUGUAUAUGUACAACAUUUUCUUAUCCAAACUGUCACUGAUCAGCAUUUAGGUUGAUUCCAUGUCUUUGCUAUUGUGAAUAGUGCUGCAAUGAACAUUCACCUACAUGUGUUUUUAUGGUAGAAUGAUUUAUAUUCCUUCAGGUAUAUACCCAGUAAUGGAAAUGCUGGGUCAAAUGGUAGUUCUGUUUUUAGCUCUUUGAGGAAUAGCCACACUGCUUUCUGCAACGGUUGAACUAAUUUAUACUUCUACCAACAGAGUAUAAGCAUUCCUUUUCUCUGCAGCCUCGCCAGCAUUUAUUUUUUGACUUUUUAAUAAUAGCAUUCUGACUGGUGUGACAUGGUAUCUCAUUGUGCUUUUGAUUUGCAUUUCCCUAAUGAUUAGUGAUGCUGAGUUUUUCAUAUGCCUGUUGGCUGCAUGUAUCAGACUUGAUUCUGAGGGCUACAAGGAAUAUGAUGACCUAUUUUUGUAUUUUAGAAAUAUUGCCCUGUCUGCAAUGUGGAGCACCAAAUGGUGGUGGGGAAUAGGGAGAGGAGUGGGGUCUAGGGAAACAAAAAAUUAAUCAGAUGGCUACAUGAUAAUUCCCUAUCUUUUCCCUCAGACCUUUUGGGUAGUGCUUUUUUUGCCUCACAUAAUUUUCCAAUAAAAAAUUUCUAUUCACUGUUUCCUUUCACUAUUUUUUAAACUUUCUAAAAUACUCAGGCCAGAUCUGUUGCCUUUCCACCAGUGCUAACUUUCAUUUGUAUUCACAUUACCAUAUCUUGGUUUUAUUUCUCCUUUUUUCCUUACCUGAUGCUUAUCAUCCUUCAUAUUAAACUUUGUUCAGUUUUAAUGAGAUAACUGUAGUAUAAUUUAGCAAAGAGAAGUGAAAAACUCAAUUUACUAUCAAAUCAGUACUUGUACCUCUAUUAUUAAAAGAUGCAAGGAGCUUCUCUUUUUGUUACAGACACUAAGUAGAGGGGAAAAGCCCACUUUUAAAGUUUAAAAAUAUAAGAAAUGAAAAUGAUCAAAGGGGAGAUAUAUGACCUUCUCUGGGUGUUUCCAAAAUUCCCAAGAGUAAAUUGAGCCAACACCACAUGAUAAACAAAAAUAUCCUUGCAACUGUUUUACUUGGACUUUAAAACUACUAAGUACCUGUUCAAUUUUAUCCUUAAAAAAAUUUACAUAGGUUAAGUUGCCAUUUUCUCAAAUAUCUCUGUAUAAUACCUUGAGCAAUUUAGCACCUAGGAAAAAUGGUAAAAUCAGGUAAGAUCCCUUCGAAUACAGCGUUUUCCUCAAAUCUAUUUUGAAGUAUAUUGAUAGAUACCGUAACUACACAGUAUUCUUUUGGUGACUGGUCUGAUUGGUAAAAUAAUAGAAAGAUUGAAAUUUUCUUAAUUUCUUCCAUGUAAAUAAGAGGACUAUGAUUUUCUGAAUAUAACCCCAAUGAUGAGAGGCACAACACAGGUUUCAGCAAUUCCAUAAUAACACCUUUUAUAAUAACUAAAAAGAAAACAGAGGAAAUAAGAUGGAACACAAAAAUUAUUCAAUUAAAACCAAAAGUGCAUGAAAAGUAGAAACAGAAAUAAACAACAGAUGGGAUGUAUAGAAAAAACAGCAAGAUUCUGGUCUUAUAAUUGAAUUUAAGAGCCGAGUCUCAAAGAGCUUAAUUGGCAAAACGCUGCGCAGCUAACAGGUGGUGGGAACCAAAGUUCAUGUAAAUUGUACCAGAGCACAAUGCACUUCUGAUUCUGGCAGAAGUAUUAAGGUUUUAUGAAAUAAAAAAAAAAUCUUUCAUAAAACUAAUAUACUUAUGUGUUGAAGCAACUCAGAGAACUGAACUUUUGGAUUUCUUUCUGAACUAAUGAGCUGAGGCAGGAUUUUAUAUAAGGAUAUCAAUUUGAGAUUUUCCAGUCUCUACAAUUAUUCAAUCAGCAUGAUGGUUUUUUAAAAAGCUGUGGGGAGGGGAAAGAAGGGAAGAAAAAUAGCCUAUGGAAUAGACUUCACAUAAUAUCUUUUGGUAGCCAUUUGUUGCAGCUCAUUUUACCUUAGUUUUUGGUUCAAGAAGGAUGUUUAUAUAGGCCUAUGGCUAUUUACUCUGUUUACGUAUCUGCCUCCUGUUACUAUUUUUUCUGUAUUUAGGCCAGAAAUUGCACACACUAGUUUUACAGUGCUUUAUUUAACUGGAUUAUUUGCCUGUUAUCAGUAAGCAAAAGAAAAUGCACUUUUUCAAGGUACUCAGAGAUAACAUCUUCCAACUUGAGGGCAAGAUUUUCUCAGCUAAUUUCACUAUUUUUAUGUAAUUAUUUUUAUCAUUCUUCAUAUUAAGUUUUUGUGUGGUUUUAAUGAGAUAACUCAUAUAAUUUGGCAAACAGAAAAGGUAAAAAACUCAAAAACUUAUGAUCAAAUCAGUACUUGUGCCUCUAGUAUAAUUUUAAAAGAUGCAAGGUGCUUCUAUUACUGUAAGAGAUUAAAAAAUACUAUAAAGUUUGUCACAAAUAUCUUUAUACUCUUAUUAACAGCUUCACUAAUCAGCAAAACAAGACUUUAUUGAUCUUUAUAAAACUAGUACUGAAAGUAGUUAACUACUGAAUCAUUCUGGUUCCAUGAUUAAACUGGUUCUGUAGUUGAACUAUUGGAAAUAACUUCUAAACGUAAACUUCCUAAUGACUGAAAUACAUUUAUGUCAUUUAAAUUUUCGCUUCUUGAAUAUAGUACCUUAAAGAUGUUAUUAGAACUGUACUUUUCUAAUUUUAGAACCGUAUGCAAA
rnacentral:lncRNA from 1 species